rnacentral:rRNA from 1 species
UACAGAGGUCUCAAGCGUUGUUCGGAUUCAUUGGGCGUAAAGGGUGCGUAGGUGGCGCCGUAAGUCGGGUGUGAAAUUUCGGAGCUUAACUCCGAAACUGCAUUCGAUACUGCGGUGCUUGAGGACUGGAGAGGAGACUGGAAUUCCUGGUGUAGCGGUGAAAUGCGUAGAUAUCAGGAGGAAUACCGGUGGCGAAAGCGACUCUCUGGACGGCAACUGACGCUGAGGCACGAAAGCGUGGGGAGCAAACAGG